rnacentral:rRNA from 1 species
GACGGACGCUGGCGGCGUGCUUAACACAUGCAAGUCGAACGGAAAGGCCCUGCUUUUGUGGGGUGCUCGAGUGGCGAACGGGUGAGUAACACGUGAGUAGCCUGCCCUUGACUUUGGGAUAACUUCAGGAAACUGGGGCUAAUACCGGAUAGGAGCUCCUGCUGCAUGGUGGGGGUUGGAAAGUUUCGGCGGUUGGGGAUGGACUCGCGGCUUAUCAGCUUGUUGGUGGGGUAGUGGCUUACCAAGGCUUUGACGGGUAGCCGGCCUGAGAGGGUGACCGGCCACAUUGGGACUGAGAUACGGCCCAGACUCCUACGGGAGCAGCAGUGGGGAAUAUUGCACAAUGGGCGGAAGCCUGAUGCAGCAACGCCGCGUGCGGGAUGACGGCCUUCGGGUUGUAAACCGCUUUCGCCUGUGACGAAGCGUGAGUGACGGUAAUGGGUAAAGAAGCACCGGCUAACUACGUG